GACGAACGCUGGCGGCGUGCUUAACACAUGCAAGUCGAACGCUGAAGCUCAGCUUUUGUUGGGUGGAUGAGUGGCGAACGGGUGAGUAACACGUGAGUAACCUGCCUCCUUCUUUGGGAUAACGCCCGGAAACGGGUGCUAAUACUGGAUAUUCACUGGUCUUCGCAUGGGGGUUGGUGGAAAGGGUUUUUCUGGUGGGGGAUGGGCUCGCGGCCUAUCAGCUUGUUGGUGGGGUGAUGGCCGACCAAGGCUUUGACGGGUAGCCGGCCGGAGGGGGUGACCGGUCACAUUGGGACUGCGAUACGGCCCAGACUGCUACGGGAGGCAGCAGUGGGGAAUAUUGCACAAUGGGCGCAAGCCUGAUGCAGCGACGCGGCGUGAGGGAUGGAGGCCUUCGGGUUGUGAACCUCUUUCGCUCAUGGUCAAGCCGCAACAAUGGUUGUGGUGAGGGUAGUGGGUAAAGAAGCGCCGGCUAACUACGUG
rnacentral:rRNA from 1 species